rnacentral:lncRNA from 1 species
CUCUUCUCUCCCUAAACCUGGAAGAACAGCAAGGCACAAUUCCCCCUGACCCAGGAUGCCUGAAGAACAGUAGCAUGAGCAACCUCAGAAGACUCUGUCUGCAGGGAAGAAAGAAUGAGGAAGGGACCACAGCUAAACAGACAGUGCCUUCAGGAAAGAGAAGCUGCUUGGGAAACAAUCUGCAGUCCUUCUAGGAAGAGAAUUCCCUAGCAUAAAGGGAGGUGGACUGGUGAUGCUGGUGGUGGUGAUGCCGGUGGUGGAGGAAGGAUGUUGGUGAGCUACUGCGAAGGAGGGAGUAUGGGUUUGAAGCAUGUGGAGAGAGAGCAGAGGUUGGUUGGUGUGUGUUGCUGUAAGCCUGUGUGUAUCCUAGAGGUAAGCACGGAUGGUUUCUUGGACCUCUCCAUCUCCAUCCACCAGCCUGCAGAUCAGAACUGGUCUGGAGGGCUUUUCACUGCUGACACAAAGUGCGUUGGAGGCAAGAUGACGAUGCUGGAGAAGUUAAACCCAUGUCUGUCCCUGUGGACCCACCAUUGUGCGGGCAGCCAGCUGAAGGCACCCUUGACCUAAGCUGAGGGAUUUAACAAAUGGAAGGUGAAUCAUCUGUUUCAUUAAAUCAGAGGCCGCUUCAAGCACUGCAGCCCAAUUAUGCCACAUGUUGUGCAUAGCCUGAAAAGAAUAUUGGUGCAGAAAUAGGAUCCAUAUGGGCAGGUCCUUACUGGGGAGCACAUCCUGCUGAAGAACGGCCUUGGGUAUCUGACUGCGUGGAUCAGCUUAACAGGAUUCAGGCCUUGACCCUUAAUUUAUAGUGUUGAGCAACUCUCAAGAAGAGGGAAUGAUCUGUAGGAGGUACAGCAUGAAGUGGACGGAGCAGUGACAUACAUUUCCCCUCCAAGGAGCAAGGCUUGCUGCCUUUGCUUUGGUGUAAGGCUGCAUGCUCCAGGAAUAAGCAAGAAUAUCAAGGUCUGGCCUGGAUUCCUCCCUCGAGGAAAGAGACAGAUGAUAUCAUUGUUGGAGUUGUUUGGACAUCACAAAGGCAGGACAAAAGAACGAGAGCCCAAAUGCAGCCAGCCAGCUGAGAGCACACUGCUGCUCCUGCAAAGCUCUUCAAGGAGAAAUGCUGACACAGCCAUUUCCGGCACUAUUUGCUGCUGCAAGGAAUACUUAAGAAAAGCAAAGAUCAAGAAGGAAAAUGAUAUAUUAAGGAACACGAUGGCAGCAACAGCUUCUCAGUAGGAAUGCAAUGGGCACAUUAGCUUUGCUUCCCACACAGGUGAGAUCCAAGGUAAACACGAAGUGAUUGUGUGUGCAGAUUUCC